GACGAACGCUGGCGGCAGGCCUAACACAUGCAAGUCGAACGAGUGGCGGACGGGUGAGUAAUGUCUGGGAAACUGCCCGAUGGAGGGGGAUAACUACUGGAACCGGUAGCUAAUACCGCAUACCAUCGGAUGUGCCCAGAUGGGAUUAGCUAGGAGGUGGGGUAACGGCUCACCUAGGCGACGAUCCCUUGCUGGUCUGAGAGGAUGACCAUGCACAUGGGAACUAAGAGCUGGUCCAGAGUCCUACGGGAAGCAGCAGUGGGGAAUAUUGCACAAUGGGCGCAAGCCAGAUGCAGCCAUGCCGAGUGUAUGAAGAAGGCCUUCGGGUUGUAAAAUACUGUCAGCAGAGAGGCGUUACUCGCAGAAAAAACACCGGCUAACUCCGUGCCAGCAGCCGCGGUAAUAC
rnacentral:rRNA from 1 species